rnacentral:SRP_RNA from 1 species
GCCGGGCAUGGUGGCGCAUGUUUGUAAUCCCUGCCACUGGGAAGCUGAGGCUGGUGGAUUUCUUGAGUUCAGGAGUCCUGAGCUGCAGUAAAGCUAAAGCUGAUUAAAUUACCAUGCUAAAUCCGUCAUCAAUAUGGUAAGCUUCCAAGUGUAAAGGACCACCAUGCUGCCCAAAGAGGGGCAAAAUAGCUCAGAUCAGAAAAAUGGAGCAGGUUAAAGCUUAUGUAUUAAUCUGCACCAGGAUAGAGUCCAUGAAUGGCUCCUGCCCUUCCAGCCAGGGUGGAACAGGGAAACUCAGUCUCCU